GCGCAUACAUGCCGGUUUGUAUGGGCCGGCGUGCUUGCGUGUGUCUAGUGCGUACGUGUUUUGUGAGCGUGUUUCUGAGUGGGUCACUGUGUGUGCGUGCACGUGUUAGCGUGUCUGCCUGCAUGUAUGUGUGAUUGUUUGUGUUUAUCAAUGUGCGCUUGCGUGCCUUUGUGUCUGCGCUUUGAGAGUGCGUAUAUUUGUGUGCGCGCGAGUGCGUUUUGUGUGCGUGCGUAUGUAUUGCAUAAGGCCGGUGGAGUUUUACUCGCAAUAAAACUCCUCCAAUUUGGUGCAGCGAGUGUUGCCGCCUGAAAGCAGAGUUUGGUUUCAAGCCAACCUGGACAACUGCUGUACGAGGCGCUGUUUCUCAGGAGGAUCAGUGGGAAGGCGUCAGGUCAUGCAGAUGAUAGCAUCGAUUUCACAAUGCCCAGCCUUGGUGCCCUCCAUUAAGAGCAAGCCACUUGCGUUCGCCUUCAGGCAGAUGGUUGAUGUCUUCUAGGAAGCAGUUGGGAAGACUACAUUGAUGCAAGAUUCCAGCAAUGCCAUGCGCUGCAUUUAUUGGUCAAGAUGCUCAGAGAAUGGAGUCCCUGCACCUCGUGGUGAAACGUGAACAUUUUUUUUCUUUUGGAAAGCUAAACGUCAUUUGCUGUAUCAAUUGCAUUCUUGCAGCUCAGAUGUGUACUAUAUUUUUUCUAAUUUUGAAUCAAUUAAUAUUCACUGUUCAGUAUAAAAAUGACGUACAGUGUGAAGUACAAGG